CGAAUGGCUCAUUAAAUCAGUUAUCGUUUAUUUGAUGGUACCUUACUACUUGGAUAACCGUGGUAAUUCUAGAGCUAAUACAUGCUGAAAACCCCGACUUCGGGAGGGGUGUAUUUAUUAGAUAAAAAACCAACGCCCUUCGGGGCUCUUUGGUGAUUCAUGAUAACUUCUCAGAUCGCAUGGCCUUGCGCCGGCGACGGUUCAUUCAAAUUUCUGCCCUAUCAACUUUCGAUGGUAAGGUAUUGGCUUACCAUGGUUUCAACGGGUAACGGGGAAUUAGGGUUCGAUUCCGGAGAGUGAGCCUGAGAAACGGCUGACACAUCCAAGGAAGGCAGCAGGCGCGCAAAUUACCCAAUCCCGACACGGGGAGGUAGUGACAAUAAAUACUGAUACAGGGCUCUUUUGGGUCUUGUAAUUGGAAUGAGUACAAUUUAAACCUCUUAACGAGGAACAAUUGGAGGGCAAGUCUGGUGCCAGCAGCCGCGGUAAUUCCAGCUCCAAUAGCGUAUAUUAAAGUUGUUGCAGUUAAAAAGCUCGUAGUUGAACCUUUGGCCUGGCUGGCAGGUCCGCCUCACCGCGUGCACUUGUCCGGCCGGGCCUUCUCUUCUGGAGAACCGCAUGCCCUUCACUGGGUGUGUUGGGGACCAGGACUUUUACUUUGAAAAAAUUAGAGUGUUCAAAGCAGGCCUUUGCUCGAAUACGUUAGCAUGGAAUAAUAGAAUAGGACGUGCGGUCCUAUUUUGUUGGUUUCUAGGACCGCCGUAAUGAUUAAUAGGGACAGUCGGGGGCAUCAGUAUUCAAUUGUCAGAGGUGAAAUUCUUGGAUUUAUUGAAGACUAACUACUGCGAAAGCAUUUGCCAAGGAUGUUUUCAUUAAUCAGUGAACGAAAGUUAGGGGAUCGAAGACGAUCAGAUACCGUCGUAGUCUUAACCAUAAACUAUGCCGACUAGGGAUCGGGCGGUGUUUUUCUAUUGACCCGCUCGGCACCUUA
rnacentral:rRNA from 1 species